GAUGAGCGCUAGCGGCAGGCUUAACACAUGCAAGCCGAGCGGUAGAAGAUCUUCGGAUCUUUGAGAGCGGCGUACGGGUGCGGAACACGUGUGCAACCUGCCUUUAUCAGGGGGAUAGCCUUUCGAAAGGAAGAUUAAUACCCCAUAAUAUAUUGAUUGGCAUCAAUUAAUAUUGAAAACUCCGGUGGAUAGAGAUGGGC
rnacentral:rRNA from 1 species